rnacentral:rRNA from 1 species
CAAUAGCGUAUAUUAAAGUUGUUGCGGUUAAAAAGCUCGUAGUUGGAUUUCUGCUGAGGACGAUCGGUCCGCCCACUGGGUGAGUAUCUGGCUCGGCCUUGGCAUCUUCUUGGAGAACGUUGCUGCACUUGACUGUGUGGUGCGGUAUCCAGGACUUUUACUUUGAGGAAAUUAGAGUGUUUCAAGCAGGCGCACGCCUUGAAUAUAUUAGCAUGGAAUAAUAACAUAGGAUCUUUGUCCUAUUUUGUUGGUUUCUAGGGCUGAGAUAAUGAUUAAUAGGGAUAAUUGGGGGCAUCUGUAUCAACGCGUCAGAGGUGGAAUUCUUGGAUUGCGUUGCGACAAACUACUGCGAAAGCAUUUGCCAAGGAUGUUUUCAUUGA